AUGAAUAAUAAUGCCGUUCGUAUAUCCUCGACAAUAUGGGUCGAAAGUUUCUACCGGGGCACCGUAAAUGCCCUGACUAUGAAGGCAGAGUC
rnacentral:ncRNA from 1 species